GCUCUGAUUAAACACUAAAGACUUUCUCUCUUAUACUCAGAUGCCCUUUAGGGAGGACAAAUAAAGGGAAGUACAGUGUUAUCUCGCUAUAUCGUCGCGCACCGCUGCGGAUUCAGUGGACUGCUGAUUUUUUUUUCAUAUUCCUAUCAUGCAUAAUUUGCCAUAUUGCAGGAUUUAGAGUGUAUAUGCUGUAAUUUUUUUUGUGGUAUAAGAAAUGCUUCCUAACCUAGAACAAAAUGAUACAAAUACGAAAGAAAAUUCAGAAAACACAUAUUACAAGGAAUAAAAUGUACAUAGUGUACAAUACUACUGUGCAUUACCGUAUGUUUAAGAGUUUAAAAGGUAUUUGAGAUUAUAGAAAGUGUUUAUAAGAGUAUGGUAGGUUAAUAGGAGUGUGGGGAAGAUUAAUAAGACCAUGUAUGCGUCGCCGGAACAAAUGUUUCACAAAGACAUGUAUUGCAGACGGACGCAGUCUUGAAACACUGAUAUACUUCGCCAAAAAUGUCAGAGGAGCGUCUACAUUGUGCUGCCCCUUCCGUUGUGUGCACCAAGUCCACCAGGGGAUGGUAAAAUACAGACAUGGAUAUACAUGGAGAUGGAAGAGAAGUCAAGUCCUAGGUGAAAGCAUCCAGGUGAGGAGAAAGCCAAGAAUGAGGCGUGAAGAAGACCGACUUCAAAGCCGUCCUUCGAAAUACUUGUCGUCGAAACCAAAGAAAAAGCAUCUUUUAUCUCCUUGGAUCUGAGCCGCCGGGUCCGUCUUUGAAGCCAGCGGGAACAAAGCGGGCGGAGAAGCGUCACCGUGACGACGGGAGAAGAAGGAGAAGCGCUGCCACGACAGGCUCCCGUCACGGUUGCUCGCUGUUUGUUUUCCAGGUAAACAUAAGCUGACACUUUGAGUGCUGAGGGUUACCCUGUAUGGUGGAGCUCAUAAAAAUCUACUGUCAGGUUUAUGGUUAAUAUCAUUAGGCCACGUCUGUGCACAUUUCAGAAAUCAGUCCCUACAGUUGUGUACUAAAAUGCAUUCAAUAUGCUUGGAAUGUGACAGAACUGUUUAGUUUUUACAUAGAUAAACACUACUGUUGAUGUUUAUGGCAUCAUUGAUGGUGCUAUUUUCAGGACCUUUAAGAUUCAAAAACGCUUUUUUUAAAAUGUUUUUGUUUUGUUUUUACUUCAAGAAAUCAGUAUUUCCAGGCCAGUAUUAAAAAGAACAACAACAAAAUAUGCUCAUAAUAUGAUGGAACUGUAUCGUUUUUAUGUACCUAGAUGAACAUUACUUCUGAUGUUUAUCGCAAGGAUUGAUGUUUACAUUGUCAGGAACUUUAUGAUGCCUUUGUCAAAAGCACGUUAUUUGAUUUUUAACCAGUACAUUUUCGGGAAUUUUAUGAUUACUGAUUCAAAAACAAUUUGAUUGGAUUUUUAAAGCCGUUUUCCUUGAAUAUAAGAAAUCAGUCCUUCCAGUUCGGUAUUAAAAUCAACAGCAAGAAAAUAGCAUCUUCAUGUAGCUCGACACAACCUUUGAUAUUUAUGGCAUCAUUUAUAUGACAUUUUCAGGAAAUUAUUGAUGUCAUUUUCAAAAGCAGUUGGUUAGAUUUUUAACCGCUUUUACUUGAAAUCUCGAAAUCAGUUCCUUUCAGUUUAGACUGAACAGUGGAAUACGGUGGACCUGUAUCGUUUUUUACAUUUUUUAUUUUUAUGAAGAUGAACUCUACGGUUGAUGUCUAUGGCAUGAUUGAUGUUUCCAUUCUCUGGAACUUUAUGAUGUCCUGUUCAACAGCAACUUUAUUAGGUUUUUUUUAAAACGCCUUUCGUAAAAUACAGAUCUCAGCCCAUUCAGUUCAAAAUUUAAAUCAAUGAAAUACGAUACAACUGUCUAUGUUUAUGGCAUGAUUGAUGUUUUCAUUCUCAGUCA